AGUCUCUACCAUUCUCAUCAACUUCCACUCCAUCAAAGUUCGUUUCCCAUUCCAACUUUAUCUUAACCCUUUCGAAAAUUCGAGCUGUUCCUGAUCAGAAUCCGCGUUCCUGUUGUUCACGAAGAAAACUUUCUGUCGAGAACGCUGCUAAUAAUCAAAAGCAGGAGCUGAAGCAACCCGUUACCCAAGAUGAAAGUUUGUUGUUCUUUUCCGAUUUACUUACCAUUUGUUACGGGUAGAGCAUUGCUAAAAUCAAUUGGGGAUUUAGAGCUUUCAGGGGCUUAUGCAGAGGCUUUGAGAAAGAUGGGGCAUGAUUGAUGUAGCUAGGCUGGUCAGAUAGUUCGACAAUACAACAAUUCAUCUGCUCUUGUGGAUCGCUUCUAGUUUGCUAAUAGUGAAGAACUCCAAUAUGAAUGGAGGGAAGAAAAAAAGAAGAAGAAUCAAGUUCAAGGUUGCAUCCUUCCUCGAGGAGAAAUCUGGCUAUGUUGUCAAGCCUGAUGGAAUGUUUGGUGUCCAGGUUAUUCAAUAAUGAUGAACUAUAUAUAUAUUCUUUGUUCUCUUUUAAGUUGUUUCUGUUUUAUUGAAUACGAUACCAUGCAAAACAAGAAUCAUAUUCUGUUUUUUCACUGAGUUUGUCGUAUAUCGUGUAAAGAAACAGAACCAUAAGAGGAGCUACGAACAGUUGGAGCAUAUCUUUGAGAGGCACAAAAGCCAAAAGCUUGCUUUUGUUUAUACAACUCAUAUGGAUAAUGUGAAUCAUCUUUUGGUA